CAGUCUGUCCAGAACUUUCGUUGUGGAAGGAUGUACUGAAGUGAUGUGCGAUUUCUUGUGUCCCCUACUUUCGUUGUUUACAUUUUGCGCAGUGUUGCUUCUUCUUCCAUUGUGGAAUGAUUUAUCUUAGCUAACUUGUUGAGUUACAGGUGCAUGCGCCAUUCAUCAACGCCUACCUGUUGGCAUCAUCAACAAUCUUCAAAGUGGGUGACGGAAAGAAAUUGUUUUCCAGUUUUAAAAUAUUAAGCGUUCAGCACAACUCAGCCACAAAACAACGCACUGGAUUGCGCUAAGAACCUGUCGAAACGCGCGCAGCCCCCGGGAGCGGUAGGAGAAAGGAAGAACGAGAGGAGGAAAAACUAAAGCCAGCGCGCAGCUCUGAUGGUACCCCGGACGCGGUAAGAAGAAAAAAGAUCGAGAGGAGGAAGAACGGUAAAUUUGGAAGGGGGAGACCGUUCUGCCGUCUCCACAGUGUGAGUAUGCCAAAGCACGUGUUGGAAGGGAGAGAAAAAGUGUGGAAUAAACCGCAUGCGAAUGUGUGCAUACAGCAAAAAUAAA